rnacentral:rRNA from 1 species
AGUGAACGCUGGCGGUAGGCCUAACACAUGCAAGUCGAACGGCAGCACAGUAAGAGCUUGCUCUUACGGGUGGCGAGUGGCGGACGGGUGAGGAAUACAUCGGAAUCUACUUUUUCGUGGGGGAUAACGUAGGGAAACUUACGCUAAUACCGCAUACGACCUACGGGUGAAAGCAGGGGAUCUUCGGACCUUGCGCGAUUGAAUGAGCCGAUGUCGGAUUAGCUAGUUGGCGGGGUAAAGGCCCACCAAGGCGACGAUCCGUAGCUGGUCUGAGAGGAUGAUCAGCCACACUGGAACUGAGACACGGUCCAGACUCCUACGGGAGGCAGCAGUGGGGAAUAUUGGACAAUGGGCGCAAGCCUGAUCCAGCCAUACCGCGUGGGAGAAGAAGGCCUUCGGGUUGUAAAGCCCUUUUGUUGGGAAAGAAAAGCAGCAGGUUAAUACCCCGCUGUUCUGACGGUACCCAAAGAAUAAGCACCGGCUAACUUCGUGC